UACGGAGGGUGCGAGCGUUGUCCGGAAUCAUUGGGCGUAAAGGGCGCGUAGGUGGCCCGGUCAGUUCGUGGUGAAAGCGCGGGGCUCAACCCUGCGUCGGCCAUGAAUACUGCCGCGGCUGGAGCACUGUAGAGGCAGGCGGAAUUCCGGGUGUAGCGGUGGAAUGCGUAGAGAUCCGGAAGAACACCGGUGGCGAAGGCGGCCUGCUGGGCAGUUGCUGACACUGAGGCGCGACAGCGAGGGGAGCAAACAGG
rnacentral:rRNA from 1 species